GAUGAACGCUGGCGGCGUGCCUAAUACAUGCAAGUCGAGCGAAAGGACCAGAAGUUUGCGUCCCUGAUGUUAGAGGCGGACGGGAGAGUCACACGGGGACAACAUACCUAUACGACUGGGAUAACUUCGCGAAACAGGAGCUAAUACCGGAUGAUAUUUUGAACCGGAUGGUUCAAGAGUGAAAGACGGUCUUGCUGUCACUAAUAGAUGGAUCCGCGCUGCAUUAGCUAGUGGGUAAGGUAACGGCUUACCAAGGCAACGAUGCAUAGACGCCCUGAGGGGGUGGUUCCACAGCCUGGAAGUGAGAAUGGGCCCAGACUCCUACGGUGAGCCACAGUCCGGAAUCCUACGCGAUGGAGCAAAGGGUGAUGGUGCAAAACCGCGUAAGGGCUGAAGGACCUCGGAUCGUAAAACUCUGUUGUUAGGGAAGAUGAUAAGUGUAUUUAACCGUGCACAUAUUGACGGUACCUGAUCAAAAAGCCCCGGCUAACUCCGUG
rnacentral:rRNA from 1 species